rnacentral:rRNA from 1 species
UUUAACUGAAGAGUUUGAUCAUGGCUCAGAUUGAACGCUGGCGGCAGGCUUAACACAUGCAAGUCGAGCGGGGGAAGGUAGCUUGCUACUGGACCUAGCGGCGGACGGGUGAGUAAUG